UACGUAGGGGCCUAGCGUUGUCCGGAAUUAUUGGGCGUAAAGAGCUCGUAGGCGGUUCGGCAAGUCGGAUGUGAAAUCUCCACGCUUAACGUGGAGGGGCCAUUCGAAACUGCUGUGACUCGAGUCCGGUAGGGGAGUGUGGAAUUCCCGGUGUAGCGGUGAAAUGCGCAGAUAUCGGGAGGAACACCAGUAGCGAAGGCGGCCAUCUGGGACAACACUGACGCUGAAGCACGAAAGCGUGGGGAGCAAACAGG
rnacentral:rRNA from 1 species